rnacentral:tRNA from 1 species
GCCGGGGUAGCUCAGCCUGGUUAGAGUGCCAGACUCAUAAUCUGGGGGUCGUGGGUUCGAAACCCACCCCCGGCA